ACAUGACCCCGCUGUUCUACGACACGCCUCCUCCCCGUGGCAUCCGGUGCCUUGCUGUAAGGCCUGGAGGGUCGGACGGUAAAACAGGAUGACACACAGAGACAGGAAGGAAAACGAGGAUCCGGAGAUGGUUUCCUCAUCAGCACUCAUCACACACCAGCCAGGAGAGUAAAUCCCUAAUUAGUGCCCCGGUCGGAGCACAGCUCCAGGUCACCCCUCACCACAUUAUUAAACUGGGUAAAUCAAGAUGUAGCCUAGGCCUAUUCACAAUAGAGGGGAAUGCAUAUUCAAUACAACUGUGUGCAUACAUUGAGUUAUUUCAUGGGACACUAGAUGAAAAGCAAUCUGUUUCCCUACCAUUUGGGACUCAUUUUAAUCGUACUGAUCAACAACAUUUGCAUAGAAGCAGCAAUCUUUCCUUUUAGAAAAGUGUGCACUGUCUCUUUAAGAUCCAUGACGUCAUUCACUAACAGUCAGUUCGAUGCUAAAGCACAUAUGCAUAUGAUUGAGAGAGACCGGAGGCUGGGAGACAACGUGAAUGAAUGACAUUUUGUGACAAACAGCUUUGAAAUCAUCAACAUUUUCGCAUUAAGCAUGAGUGGCGAUGCAGCCCGGACUCCCAGUGAGUGCAGUGGUUCCUCGGGACAGGCUAGAGCUGGGAAUAAGGCCCUGUGGUUAUUACCUGUGAGAACGCUCCCAAGGCUCCCCCUACGGAGGUUCAUGCCGUCCUCACAGAGUGGUCUCUUGAAUUUGAGGGAGAGGCCCACGCCGUGGAUGACCUCCAGGUUGGUGGACUUCCGGAAGGG